rnacentral:miRNA from 1 species
UAGAACUGCAAUGUAAACAUUGCAGUUCUGUGGAUCUGCAGUGUUUUACAUUGCAACACUA